AGACGUCUACAUUAGAUACCCCCGUAGUCCCAGCCGUAAACUAUGCGCGUUAGGUGUAUCGGUGACCACGAGUUACCGAGGUGCCGAAGGGAAACCGCGAAACGUGCCGCCUGGGAAGUACGGUCGCAAGGCUGAAACUUAAAGGAAUUGGCGGGGAGCACCACAACGGGUGGAGCCUGCGGUUUAAUUGGACUCAACGCCGGGAAGCUCACCGGAUAAGACAGCGGAAUGAUUGCCGGGCUGAAGACUCUGCAUGACUAGCUG
rnacentral:rRNA from 1 species